rnacentral:rRNA from 1 species
GACGAACGCUGGCGGCGUGCCUAAUACAUGCAAGUAGAACGCUGAAGAGAGGAGCUUGCUCUUCUUGGAUGAGUUGCGAACGGGUGAGUAACGCGUAGGUAACCUGCCUGGUAGCGGGGGAUAACUAUUGGAAACGAUAGCUAAUACCGCAUAAAAUGGAUUAUCGCAUGAUAAUCCAUUGAAAGGUGCAAAUGCAUCACUACCAGAUGGACCUGCGUUGUAUUAGCUAGUUGGUGGGGUAACGGCUCACCAAGGCGACGAUACAUAGCCGACCUGAGAGGGUGAUCGGCCACACUGGGACUGAGACACGGCCCAGACUCCUACGGGAGGCAGCAGUAGGGAAUCUUCGGCAAUGGACGGAAGUCUGACCGAGCAACGCCGCGGGAGUGAAGAAGGUUUUCGGAUCGUAAAGCUCUGUUGUAAGAGAAGAACGAGUGUGAGAGUGGAAAGUUCACACUGUGACGGUAGCUUACCAGAAAGGGACGGCUAACUACGUG